rnacentral:rRNA from 1 species
AAUCAACGCUGGCGGCGCGCUUAACACAUGCAAGUCGAACGAGAAAGCCCGCAAGGGUGAGUAAAGUGGCGUACGGGUGAGUAACACGUGGGUAAUCUGCCUUUUGGUGGGGAAUAACCCUGGGAAACCGGGGCUAACACCGCAUAAGCUCGAAAGAGGAAAAGAGCAAUCUGCCGAAAGAGGAGCCCGCGGCUGAUUAGCUAGUUGGUGAGGUAAGAGCUCACCAAGGCGAAGAUCGGUAGCCGGCCUGAGAGGGCACACGGCCACACUGGCACUGAAACACGGGCCAGACUCCUACGGGAGGCAGCAGUGGGGAAUCUUGCACAAUGGGGGAAACCCUGAUGCAGCGACGCCGCGUGAGCGAUGAAGCCUUCGGGGUGUAAAGCUCUUUCGGCAGGAACGAUGAUGACGGUACCUGAAGAAGAAGCUGCGGCUAACUACGUGCCAGCAGCCGCGGUAAUACGUAGGCAGCGAGCGUUGUUCGGAGUUACUGGGCGU